CGCAGGGUGGAGCAGCACGAGUAGCUCGUCAGGGCUCAUAACCCGAAGGUCGUCGGUUCAAAAAUCCGGCCCCGCAA
rnacentral:tRNA from 1 species